rnacentral:rRNA from 1 species
AUGAUAGACAACAAUUUAUCCAUUCUAUGCUGGAAUGUGCGUGGGCUUAAUUGUCCAGACCGGCGUGCUGCUGUACAUGAAACCAUUGCCGCCUCCUUCUGUCAUCUUGUUUGCAUCCAAGAAUCGAAGCUGCAGACCAUUGAUCCAACUGUCGCUACUUAUCUGGGUGGCCAGCGCCUCAAGAACUUUGCUCAAAGACCGGCUGAUGGCACUAAAGGUGGAAUCUUGCUACUCUGGGAUAGUGAUGCUGUUACUGUCACCAAUGUACAAACUGGAGCCUACUUCCUCUCCGCGACCGUGAAGCUCAACAACUCCGAUGAAAAAACCUUCAAACUGACUACAGUUUAUGGCCCCACUCGUAGCAUGCAUAAGGAUGCUUUCUUCCAGGAGCUCAUCUCGCAAAACCAACUUCGGGAACCAAAUGGCUGGUUAAUGGAGACUUCAAUCAAAUAUACCGGGCUAGAGACAAGAAUCGCGCGAAUGUGGACCGAAGCCGUCUUGUCCGCUUUCGAAACACCUUGA